AAACUUUUUUUCUGAUAAGCUGGUUCUCACUUCUGUUACUCCAGCUUCUUCGGCACCUGUUUUACAGACACCUAAAGCUACAUCGUCAACGUUAUAUUUUGAUAGUUUGACGGUUAAUGCUGGUAAUGGUGGUUUUCUUCAUUGCAUUCAGAUGGAUACAUCUGUCAACGCCGCUAAUCAGGUUGUUUCUGUUGGUGCUGAUAUUGCUUUUGAUGCCGACCCUAAAUUUUUUGCCUGUUUGGUUCGCUUUGAGUCUUCUUCGGUUCCGACUACCCUCCCGACUGCCUAUGAUGUUUAUCCUUGGGAUGGUCGCCAUGAUGGUGGUUAUUAUACCGUCAAGGACCGUGUGACU
rnacentral:rRNA from 1 species